AAUGCCACACCUCCAACCCAGAUUGUAUUCCAGUUAAUCACAUGACUGACCAGUAACUAGACUGAAACUGUUUAGCUCUUACGUAACAGCCUGAAGUGCCUAGAACUUGGUUUAAUGAUUAUCUGAAUGUUUAAAGUCUCUUUUCUCUGUGUACAUAUAUAUAUGUGUGUGUGUGUGUGGUCUUAAUGCUUAUGGGUAACCAUGUCAUAAGAUUAUUCAAUUUAAAAAUUAGGUAACCAAAGGAGAGGGGUGCUGGAAGCAGCAAUAAGAGGUUAAGUAAAUUACCCAAGGCCAUGGAGCAGAUGAGUGAGAAACCUGGGAGUGGAUCCAGGACUCUUAACGGCACUGGCUGAAUGCUUGUAUUAGAAGUUCAUUUGGCUGCGAGAUGCAUCAGGGAGCUGUUUGGGUCCCAGUUUUCUUAUCUACAAAAUGGUCAUGAUGAUCUUGCCUUGGAGGUCUGAUGGGAAAUGGAGCAAGCUAACACCAUGAAAUGCUUAGGAACAGAUUUGAUUGACAAUAGGCACUGAAUAAACACUCCCUCCCAAGUAGAAGCAACUGUGUGUAGAGUCGUCCUAGCAGCUUAAACAAACCACAGGGGUUCAAGAAGAUUAAAUGACUAUCACAGAAACAAAAUAAUUAUCUGUUACAAGGUUCAGACUGCUUUGUUCUUUUAUUUAUCAGAUUAAAAUCAGAAAUUUUCAAUCCAGUUUCAAAAGGAUUAUUCAGACAGAAUUCCUGAAAAAAAAGUCAUCUUCUGAAUUUUAUAGCCAUUUCUUGAUUUAAAUGGAAUAAAAAUCUCCAACAUCUUAAUAAUA